rnacentral:tRNA from 1 species
AGCUAAUAAGCUUUAAGAAGCACAUAUUUUGAAAGUAUGAGAUAAAGGAUAACCUUUAUUAGCUU